rnacentral:misc_RNA from 1 species
GAUGAGACGUAGCGAAAUGCGAUAAGUAAUGUGAAUUGCAGAAUUCAGUGAAUCAUCGAAUCUUUGAACGCACAUUGCGCCCGCUAGUAUUCUGGCGGGCAUGCCUGUCCGAGCGUCAUUUCAACCCUCAAGCCCCCGGGCUUGGUGUUGGGGAUCGGCGAGCCUCCGCGCCCGCCGUCCCCUAAAUCUAGUGGCGGUCUCGCUGUAGCUUCCUCUGCGUAGUAGCACACCUCGCACUGGGAAACAGCGCGGCCACGCCGUUAAACCCCCAACUUCUGAACGUUUGACCUCGGAUCAGGUAGGAAUACCCGCUGAACUUAAGCAUAUCAAUAAGCGGAGGA